GAUGAAGAACGCAGUGAAAUGCGAUACGUAAUGUGAAUUGCAGAAUUCAGUGAAUCAUCGAAUCUUUGAACGCACAUUGCGCCCGCCAGUAUUCUGGCGGGCAUGCCUGUUCGAGCGUCAUUACAACCCUCAGGCCCCCGGGCCUGGCGUUGGGGAUCGGCGGAGCCCCCCGUGGGCACACGCCGUCCCCCAAAUGCAGUGGCGGUCCCGCCGCAGCUUCCAUCGCGUAGUAGCUAACACCUCGCGACUGGAGAGCGGCGCGGCCACGCCGUAAAACACCCAACUCUUCUGAAGUUGACCUCGAAUCAGGUAGGAAUACCCGCUGAACUUAAGCAUAUCAAUAAGCGGAGGA
rnacentral:misc_RNA from 1 species